AGUGUUUCCGGUGCAGCCUGUUGUUUCGGCGCUGUUUUCGUGUUUUUCUGUCUUAAGUUAAAUCUGUUGUUUGUGUUAAAUCUUUGUCGACCAUUAAACCAUCUUCGCUCAUACCACCUGACCCACUCGGCUCGCAGGUGCAGUUUGAAACAUGUCGUCUGGACUCCUGGAGCCUCCCGAAGGAGGAGAACAACUCUGCGUUUUCCUGCUGAGAGAUGAGGAAGAGGAGGUGGUGGAGAGGAGGAGGGAGGUGGGCUGCCAGUGGGAGAGUCCAGAAGAGGAGAGGAAGGAGGUGGGCUGUCAGAGUGAUUCAGCAGACAGGAGAGACGCUGCCGUCCAGGUGGACCUGCUGACCCAGCAGCUCAGCUGGAGACACACAGGUUCAUCUGCGAUGCUGCUGCAAUGUUUCGCAGUCAGACCUGAUGGACCAGACGGUGGCGCUCUGCUGCAACACUGCACCACCAACCGCACCAGAACCAGAACAAUCCAGCCCACUGUCAAACCCUCCCCCAAACACACCCAGUCCAGAUCCAGGUCCCAGAGGAGACCGCCUCCUGAGAGCUCCAACAGCGCCAGGCGGAGUCCAGCUCAACGCCACCUCCGCCUCGUGUCACCUGUGACUGACCACCAACAGGAGGAGGAAGAGGAGGAGGAGGAGGAGGAAGAGGUGGAGGAGGACACAGGUGAUCCCACCUGGAGUCCACCUGAGGGAGAUGUCCACUCUCACCCGUCUCCCUCCGCUGUCGAGGACGUUCAGCUGGACUCCGAGUCCCAGCAUGCACCUCUUCGUGGGGUGAAGCUGGAGCCUGGUAGCACCAUGUGUGACGUUUGUGGUAAAGUGAUGAAGAAUAAGUCGAGUCUGGCCCGACACUCCUUCAUCCACACAGGGAAGAAGCCGUUCGCAUGCCACCUCUGUGACCUGCGCUUCAACCGCCGCGACAACCUGCAGCACCACCUGAACCGGUUGCACCCCAACGGCGUCGCCAAGCUGGAGAAGCAGCGCGAGGUGCAGGCGUGGCUGUGCGCCGUCUGUGGUAAAACCUUCAGCUGCAGGUCCCGGCUGAAAACGCACGAGGUCAUCCAUUCGGGCGUGAAACCCCACCGCUGCGACCUCUGCCCCAAAGCCUACAUGAGGACCAACGACCUCGAGCACCACAAGAAGAUCGUCCACAUCAACGGCGCCACGGAGCCUCCACCCACCAGCUCGCUGCUCUGCGACUUCUGCGGCAAAGAGUUUAAAUGCAGGUCGCAGCUGGCCAUCCACUUCCAGACUCACACGGGAGAGCGGCCGCACCUCUGCGACAUCUGCGGGCGCAAGUUUGGACGCCAGUACCAGCUGAAGCGCCAUAAAACCCUGGUCCAUGGCAACAGAGUGAACGGCGAGGAGAACCCGCCGUCCGACUCCCCGUUCGCCUGUGAUGUCUGCGGGAAGCGGCUGAAAUCUGAAGCCCUCCUCGACGCUCACUCCCGCAUCCACUCAGGUGACAAACCUCACCGAUGCGGCAUCUGUCUGCGCGGCUUCCAGCGCGCCACCUGCCUGAAGCAGCACCACGUACGCGUUCACCUGAGGGUCAGAGUGAACGAGGCGAUGCACGCCAUCGGACGCAGAAAGAGCUCAGCGGAGGCGAGGACGUUCCCGUGUCCAAUCUGCAGCAAAGUUUUCAAAUUCAAGUCUCUGCUGGCGAGUCACUCCCUGAUCCACAGCGAGAUCCGACCCUACGGCUGCGACUUCUGCAGCCGCAGCUUCAGACGCCUGAGCCACCUGAAGAGACACCGCGAGGUCGUCCACGCCAACGGAGAGCGCCUGCCGCAGAGCUUCAUCUGUCACAUCUGCGGCAAAGACAAGAAGUGCCGCUCGCAGCUCGCCAGACACGUCAUCAUCCACACCGGAGAGCGGCCGUACGCCUGCGACCUCUGCGCCGCCCGCUUCAACCGCAGCGGGAACCUGCAGCAACACAGGAAGCGCAUGCACGGUGUGGGGACGGCGCCCGCAGAGGAAGCCCCGCCCAUCCUGUUUGAGGAUGACAUGAUGCCUGCUCUCACUUACAAACAGGAAGAGACAGUGGUGGCUGUUGACGCCUCAGCUGAGGGCUGUGAGGAUGCGGCGAGCGACGAGACGGACGCCAAUCAGCAGGCGGUCACGACCUGACCGGUCCGAACCGAGCACGCUCAGAAUGUCCCGCCUUCCCGCUUCCUUUCUUUGAACCUUGAACCCUAAAGUUGGCGGUGUCGAAGCGGUCUGAUGUUCUGAGGGCUUCUGACGACGGAACCGAAACAGACCGAGAAGAUGUGAGAACGUCGUUCAGUUUAAAUCAGUUCUGCUUUGAUUCUUCAGAAAAAUGAACGAUGAUCAAAUUAUCAAUGAAUUUAUUAAAUGACUAAAGAAAAAAAACUCUCUUACUUCCGGUUUGAAUCUUUUAAUGAAACUGCCCCCCCCCCAUCCCAUUUUGGAGCUUUUAGCUGGAUCACAUGAUCUUCCUUGAGAGACGGGGUUUCCUCAGUUAUCACAGAAAUGUAGCCCCCCCCUUCUCUACAGAUUCAUUAAAUGUGACUCUUGGCAGUUUUUUGUUGUUGUGAUCAACCAGAUGGAGGCAGCUGAUUGGUUGAAUUUGCAGACUCAGGGUCACAGGAAGUGUUUUUAUUCAUGACAAAAAGUUUUUUUUCAGCGCAUGUAGGUACCACACACACACACACACACAGCUGAUGUUUGACUGAUCGGCCCCAUGAUGACAAACUGGGAGGCGUUCCCAUGGCAACAGGGAGCUAAAAGCACUUUAAUAUCCCAUUAAUUUUCCCAUCAGUCAGAUUCAGUUAAUGGAUUGAUGGAUGGAUUAUAAUGAAGUAGGUUUAUUUCUGGGUCAAUUAAACUGAAUUACAGUAAAGUGUCGUGGGAUUGAAACUCAUUUAAAGUCCAAUUAAAGUUUAAUUAGAUGGAUCCAUUUGAGCUCCGUAAAUUCAUCAAAAGGAAGGAAACAUGAAGAGAAAUUAGAAAACGAGCUAAUACUGAACGAACUGAACGGCAUCAUACAGGUGGGGGGGGGAUCAGUCGAACCUCAGCUGAUCUGAGAGCAGUUCUCUUCGAAGCUUGUUUGGAGUGCGUUCAAGUCAGCUCAGAGGAAAACCGAGGAGGAGGAGGACGGCGUGGCAGCAGAUUGCGUCUCCUCCCGCCUCCCUCCUGCACUGCAGCUGCUUCAUGAGCUGUGAAAUCAAACGCACCCCUGCUGUGUCUCCACCCCUCUGCUGAGGGAUGCUUCAUUUCCACUCAGCUGCUGAUCGCUCCCACGUCAUUAACUGAACACAUUCAAUUAAACAUCAAACCAGACCGACUAACAUCACACUCACAGGAAGCACAGGUCGACAAACAGGUAAAGACACCGACCAAUCAGAGCCAAGUGACCAACAGGUUGAGAGGAGAGAAGAAAGAAAGGGGCUGAGGAGGAAAGAAGGAAACCAAAAGAGGAGGUAGACAAGGGAAAAAAGGGAAUAGAAGGAAGGAAAGGAGCAGCGAGGUAGGGUGAGGAAGAGGAAAGGACAGAAGGCAGAGGGGGUGAAGUCAGGCAUGGAGGAAAUGUGUAUGAGAUGGAAGAAGAGAAGGAAGGAAAGAAGGAGAUGUAGAAGGGAAAAAGGAAGGAAAGA